rnacentral:lncRNA from 1 species
GUGCUCACAUACUCAAAUCAGGUAAUGUGUUCAAACACCAAAUCCUUUUGGGCGUUAAAUGUCGUUAGCAAGUGUGAUUAUUUCAUUAUAUUCACCUCUAAUUUCUUUAACCCAUUUGAAAUCUUCAGGAGUAGAAAGUAAUUUUUCCAACAAUAUCAUCGUGUAAAGUCCUCGGUGUUGACGGUCUCUUCCCUGGGUAAGUUAUUUUUUUGAAAUUCUUAAUUUUUUGGUGAUUGUAUGUUUGGUAUUCCUCUCAAAAUGCUGAAAUGAGAUGUUGUGUGGUAUGGGUCUGUUAUUUUUCCUGAUAUUUUUCGACAAAAUUCCAAAAAGCAGUUUUCAACUGAUUCUUUUGUUUUUUACGCGAUUCUUUGUUUUUACGCGAUUUUGUGUUUUUCCUUUUUGUUUAUUAGGUUGGUUUAUUUAUUUUCCUCGUGCUUUUUUACUGUACUUGUUAAGGUUGUAGCUUUCGAUUUUCUUUUAGGUUUAUGCUUAGAUUAUCGAGAUAAUUGGGUUACUAGCAAAACCCUAAUUUUGAUUUUGAUUUUUAAGUAUGAUUAAUUUGAUUUUGAUUUGAUUUUUGAUCCACAAUUGAAUCUCCAAAUGCAAAAACUGCUUUUACAUCUACGUUUUUAGGUACAUGCAGUUAGCGAGAAUAGUUUUUUCUUCUAUUUCACUUUUAAUUUCUCUGACCCAUUUGAAAAUAUACAGGAAUCAGAAGUAAUUUUUCUUGAAUAGCUAUCUCCUAAAGCCCGUUCUCAGUGUCGACUGCUCUUUCACUGGGUAGGUUGAAAACUUCUUUAGUUUCUCAUUUUAAACAAUAGUUUGUUUCUUUCAUAAACCAAUGCAUUAACUGAUAUUCUCUGCGUUGACAAAAACAAAGUUAAUUGUGUGAGCUCUGAAGCCUUGGUUAUUGCCUUAUGCUUCUAAGUGCUUUACCUAAAUUCACUUUAUUUGGAGUACAUUAGCAAUUAACCACACCUCCAGAAGCCUGCAAAAGCUCUUAGGCUCAUGUAGAUGGUCAGAGCAACCCAAAUUCAGACGAAUUUAUAAAUUGAUGAAAGAAUGAACAAGCAUACAAUGUUGAAUAAAGCCAUUGUAACCUGAACAUAUAUAGCAUUCGCUUUUAUAAAUAUUUACUAAUUAAUAAAAAAGGAAAAUAUAUAUACUGACAUUGUCUUCAGAUUAUAAUCAAGGAAGAUAUAUAUGGUCAUAAGGAUGUUUUUCCACUUAAAUUAGGAUUUUGGAGGUCUUGAGGGAAGGGAGAGGGUUGAUUUUUGGCAGUUGAUAGAUUUUCAAAGACUAUAAACUUUAGAUAAAGCGAUCGAAACUUAAGUCUCAAGUCUCAUGCAUGAUAGAGGUUUUAAGUUUUUUGUUUCCCUUUUUUGCCAGUUUCAAAUACUUAUGAGAUGAAUCAGCUAUGAUAAAGUUGUCAUGAAUCUGGAAUGGAGAGAGUUUAAUAUUUUGAUUCUUGUUAUAGUCUUGGAAUUGACAUAUAAAAUACUACUCAUGAGUAGUGACACCAAGAACUGAAUCAUGCCAAGGCAUAUUUUCUUGCUUAUGAGGAAUAAAUAAACCUUCAAAACAUUUAGGUCAUAUUAGUCCCAUAAACAUGCCAUGCCACUUCAUAUGCCUCUUUCCAUGAAACUUGGUGCUACUUAACUUCAAUGUGGUUCAAUUUCAUUGAUUUGUUCACACUCUUUAUGAAUCUAAGAGCUAAAUUGUCUUGUCUCAUAUAUUCACUUACUGACCGAUAUAGACUCUAUUUUCCUCUUUUUUUCACUUCAUACCUCAUUAAAUAUUUCAAAAGAUCCAAUCACUGGUCCUUUAAAUUGUUAUUUUUAACAUGAAAUGGUUUAACAUGGGAAUGUCUUCUCUGCUUGCAGUAUUUGUGACUGAACAGAUACUCUUAAGAUAAUGGCAAGCUACAAAAUCCUUUUCUCAAAUUGUUUUUACCUGUGGAAUGCUUUAUUUUUGUAUUUAUAUUUAUGUUGCUUGAUAAGUGGAUUUCAGAGAUUAAUCAUCUAAUAUUUGAUGUCUUAAUGGCUUCACUAUAUCAUCUUGGCUGAAUAUUUCAAAUCUAAUUGAGAUAUUUUAUGAAAAAUAACUACGUUGGACAGUAAACAUUUCCCUCUUUGACUAGUAUAGUAUUAUUGUAUUUUCGUUUGAUGCACUGUUUGUAUUGUGAUCCUUCUCUUAAUAGGAAAAAGUUGUUGAUACAAGUAUAAAUACUCAUUGUGCCUUGAACACUAAUGAGCCAUUUGUGUUGGCAUCUCAGUCUGAACAAGUCUUCUACUUAGAAGACAUGGUUGAUAAAGAUUGGCUUGUUGUUGUAAAGAAAAAUCCUCGCGACCUUUUCAAUAUGCCUUAAGUUGAUGAUAAUUCUGUAGCAGUUGAAGAUGAAGCAUUACUGAAUGAAGAAGCUUAUCAACAAGAGGAAGUUGAAUUGAAUAUUUUGCAAAACAAUGACCAGGAAAAUGAUAUUGAUGUGGCUUUACAUAUGGACGAUGUUGAACCACAAAGUAUUGAUGCAAGUAUACAAGCUUAGACAAGUAUGCAUGAAAAAGAAUGUGGAAGUAGACAAACGGAUCAGCAUAGAAAUAGCCAAGAGGAUUCAAGAACAACUGGCUGCUAUCAUGUCUGGAAUGCAACAGGUGAUCUACUCUUAAUGUUUUUGUACUCUUCCUUCCUUCUUGACUAUUCUUCUUCUUCUUUUUUUCUUGAAUUUUGGUUCCUUCUUGGAAAUUCUUCUCUUCUUAUCUUUUGUGAGGCAAAUAGUGUGUUUGAUAAAAUACCUUCUUUUAUGAGGGACAUUAUUGCAAUAGAGUUUGGAUACUUGUUGAUCAACCAAGUGGUAAUGGUCAGGUUGAAAAUAUUCCUACAAUUGGAUAGUUGUAGAUUAAGAUUUAGAGACAGUGUUUUAUAAGCCCUUUUAGAUAUGAACAUAGUGACCUUUUUGGAUAAGUAAAAGAUAAAUUGACUUUUCUUAUAGUUGGAUAGUUUGGUGUAGAAAGUAAUACUAUCGCCUACAACAUUUGGACUACAGAGAGUUGUAGGCGAUGUUAUUUCACUUAAGACAAUUGUUAGAAGUACUGAUGCAAACAAGAUGUCAAAUACUUAAAUCUUGGAAUUGUAGUUGUUAAGUCUGAAUCAUACAUGUUAAGUAUAAGGUCAACAUUAGCGUCCAACAUACUACUGAAGGAAAGUCACAAUAGAUAAAUGUACAUGAGUUAAAAGUUAUUUUAUUCACGCAGUAAGGUAGUGUUGAAAGAUCCCAUAUGUCCCUUACAAUUGAGUUGGCUCAGAUAUGCCAAUCAAUACUUGCAAGCUUAUAUUUUAGCCAAAUGUUUUAGAAAAAACAGUUCCAAUUGAAGAGAACAAAUGCAACAUUGUACAAAACAAGUUCUAGUAAGACGAUUACCCAUUAAUACCUUCAACGGUUAAAUCACCCAUCUAACAGUUCUAGCCUUAAAAAAUCUUGGUGAACAUACACAAUUAAGGGAAGUUAUUUUGGUUUUUCUAUUACUCAUAAAAAGAUUAGCUUGGCUUUGGAAUUAUCAAAAGCUUAACUGCACCGCACACACUCAAACAAAGUACAUGUAUAAACAUUGUCCCUCUUUCAUAUGCUAAUCUGUUUGAGUCUUUGUGAUCGAACACCACAAGCAUUACAUGUGAACAUCACUAAUAGACUUCUUCUUGGUAGUUUCAAGUUAAUAGUUGCUUCCUGCAGAAAAAAAUGACAUUUAAGUGGACAAAGAGCAAGUAGUAAUUCUUUUAAUUGCAAAUUAGAAGAUCUAGUUAUUCUUCGCCAAAUAGGGGGUCUAAAUGUCUCAUCUUCCAAUUGAAGCUUAAGUCGCUUCUUCGGCCUAAUGUUCUUAUCUGUAUCUUUUUUCACUUUGAUGUUAUCUUCAUGCUCUAACAAUGUGAUACUGUAUUUUUUUAUUUAAUAAUAGGGACAAUGUUAUAACACAAUGGUGACAAUGAAGGAGAAGAUUGAAGCUAAGGCACUCAAUGUUUUACUUUUUGGUUAUAUGUAAAUACGUACAAUGACAAUGAAGUAUUACGUAGUAUAUAUGCGGAGGAACUUGAAGCUAAGGCACUCAAUAUUUUACUUUUUGGUUAUAUGUAUAUGCGUACAAUGAUAAUGAAGUAUUACGUAGUGUAUAUGCGGAGAAGCUUGAAGCUAAGGCACUCAAUAUUUUACUUUUUGGUUAUAUGUAUAUGCGUACAAUGACAAUGAAGUAUUGCAUAGUAUAUAUGUAACUCAACUUUUAGUAAUGGAAGUAUUUAGUAUUUGGUUUAGGAAA